AUUGAACGCUGGCGGCAGGCCUAACACAUGCAAGUCGAACGAGUGGCGGACGGGCGAGUAAUGUCUGGGAAACUGCCUGAUGGAGGGGGAUAACUACUGGAAACGGUAGCUAAUACCGCAUACCAUCGGAUGUGCCCAGAUGGGAUUAGCUAGUGGGUGGGGUAACGGCUCACCCAGGCGACGCGCCCUAGCUGGUCUGAGAGGAUGACCGGCCACACUGGAACUGAGACACGGUCCAGACUCCUACGGGAGGCAGCAGUGGGGAAUAUUGCACAAUGGGCGAAAGCCUGAUGCAGCCAUGCCGCGUGUAUGAAGAAGGCCUUCGGGUUGUAAAGUACUUUCAGCGGGGAGGCGUUACCCGAAGAAGAAGCACCGGCUAACUCCGUGCCAGCCGCCGCGGUAAUUC
rnacentral:rRNA from 1 species